GACGAACGCUGGCGGCGUGCUUAACACAUGCAAGUCGAACGGUAAGGCCCUUCGGGGUACACGAGUGGCGAACGGGUGAGUAACACGUGGGUGAUCUGCCCUGCACUUCGGGAUAAGCCUGGGAAACUGGGUCUAAUACCGGAUAGGACUCCGGACUGCAUGGUCUGGGGUGGAAAGCUUUUGCGGUGUGGGAUGGGCCCGCGGCCUAUCAGCUUGUUGGUGGGGUGAUGGCCUACCAAGGCGACGACGGGUAGCCGGCCUGAGAGGGUGACCGGCCACACUGGGACUGAGAUACGGUCCAGACUCCUACGGGAGGCCGCAGUGGGGAAUAUUGCACAAUGGGCGCAAGCCUGAUGCAGCGACGCCGCGUGAGGGAUGACGGCCUUCGGGUUGUAAACCUCUUUCAGCAUCGACGAAGCGAAAGUGACGGUAGGUGCAGAAGAAGGACCGGCCAACUACGUGCCAGCAGCCGCGGUAA
rnacentral:rRNA from 1 species